rnacentral:rRNA from 1 species
ACGCUCGACACCUACGGGAGGUAGCAGUGGGGAAUAUUGCACAAUGGGGGAAACCCUGAUGCAGCGACGCCGCGUGAAGGAAGAAGUAUUUCGGUAUGUAAACUUCUAUCAGCAGGGAAGAAAAUGACGGUACCUGACUAAGAAGCCCCGGCUAACUACGUGCCUGCAGCCGCGGUAAUCUGAGCGGGCUGGCAAGGC